UACGAGGGGGGCGAGCGUUGUCCGGAAUCAUUGGGCGUAAAGAGCGUGUAGGCGGCCGCUUAAGUCCUGCGUGAAAUCUUGCGGCUCAACCGCAAGCGGUCGUGGGAAACUGGGUGGCUAGAGUGCGGGAGAGGAGAGUGGAAUUCCUGGUGUAGCGGUGGAAUGCGCAGAUAUCAGGAAGAACACCCGUGGCGAAGGCGGCUCACUGGCCCGAUACUGACGCUGAGGCACGAAAGCGUGGGGAGCAAACAGG
rnacentral:rRNA from 1 species